rnacentral:rRNA from 1 species
AAGUCCGUAGGUGAACCUGCGGAAGGAUCAUUA